ACCAGACUCCUACGGGAGGCAGCAGUGGGGGAUAUUGCACAAUGGGGGGAACCCUGAUGCAGCGACGCCGCGUGGGUGAAGAAGCGCCUCGGCGCGUAAAGCCCUGUCAGCAGGGAAGAAAAUGACGGUACCUGAAGAAGAAGCCCCGGCUAACUACGUGCCAGCAGCCGCGGUAAUACGUAGGGGGCAAGCGUUAUCCGGAUUUACUGGGUGUAAAGGGGGCGCAGACGGCGAUGCAAGCCAGGAGUGAAAGCCCGGGGCCCAACCCCGGGACUGCUCUUGGAACUGCGUGGCUGGAGUGCAGGAGGGGCAGGCGGAAUUCCUGGUGUAGCGGUGAAAUGCGUAGAUAUCAGGAGGAACACCGGUGGCGAAGGCGGCCUGCUGGACUGCAACUGACGUUGAGGCGCGAAAGCGUGGGGAGCAAACAGGAUUAGAUACCCGAGUA
rnacentral:rRNA from 1 species